UACGGAGAGUGCAAACGUUGUUCGGAUUCACUGGGCGUAAAGGGCACGUAGGCGGCUCGGCAAAUCGGUCGUGGAAUCUCGACGCUUACCGUCGAAACGGCGGCCGAAAAUACCGGGCUCGAGGGCGUGAGGGGUCACUGGAACUCCUGGUGAAGCGGUGAAAUGCGUAGAUAUUAGGAAGAACACCAGUGGCGAAGGCGGCCCACUGGUCCGGUACUGACGCUGAGGUGCGAAAGCGUGGGGAGCAAACAGG
rnacentral:rRNA from 1 species